CAACGCCUACGGGACGCAGCAGUAGGGAAUUUUCGUCAAUGGGCGCAAGCCUGAACGAGCGAUGCCGCGUGAGUGAAGAAGGCCUUCGGGUCGUAAAGCUCUGUUGCGGGGGAAAAAAGGCAGCAUCAGGAAAUGGGUGCUGACUGAUGGUGCCCCGCCAGAAAGUCACGGCUAAAUACGUGCCAGCAGCCGCGGUAAUACGUAUGGGGCAAGCGUUAUCCGGAUUUACUGGGUGUAAAGGGAGCGCAGGCGGCCUGGCAAGCCUGAUGUGAAAUACCGGGGCCCAACCCCGGGGCUGCAUUGGG
rnacentral:rRNA from 1 species